GUACAUGGCCAUAUCACCCUGAACACACCCGAUCUCUGAUCUGGAAAGCUAAGCAGGGUUAGGCCUGGUUAGUACUUAGAUGGGAGACCGCCUGCAAAUACCAGGUGCUGCAGGCU
rnacentral:rRNA from 1 species